AAUGUUACUGUAGCAUUAGAGGAUCCACGCAAAACCAACGUUCUUAUCUUUCUAUAUAAAAACAAAUUAAUAAGUUAUGUAUUCAAGUUCAUCACAUGAAGUUAACGUAUGCAAACUUUGGCAACCCAGGAGGACGUCUUCCUAACUGCUAUAGCUAAGAAACUUCCUGCCUGGCUCCACGGGAGUAUAUCGCUAUAGUUGCGGCCAAGGAUAUGAAAGAAGGAAGAGGCUAGUUGCCGCAGGUCAGGUAACUAUGUCGAUGUCAUUGUACGUGUAUGAGGAUGUAAACUAUAUAUAUAUAUAUAUAUAAACAAGACGAGUGUAAAAUAAGUGAUGAAGAAGUACUGAUGUUUUUCUUCAUCUGAGAAGUUCCAAAUUUUCAUGGUUAUUAUGUAGGUAAAAUUAUUUUAAUAUAUUUUUAAAUAAAAAAAUACUUAAAAAAACAACCACUAUCCAAUUUCUAACUAUCACUAUUAAUGGAUUAACAUUUCUUUUCUUUUAUUUAUGUUUAGUAUUUUGUAUUAUUCUGAUGACAUUGAGAUGUUAACCUAAACAGGGGUAGGUUAACAAGAUAUAAAAAAGGCAAAAUGUUGUUUGAAAUAUUUCUUUUAAAAUCUUGGCUCAUUUCCCUUUUUUUUUUCUAAAAAUAAUAUUAGGUCCCAUCAUUCUAUGAUUAUCUAUUAUUUUUCAACUUUAUUAAAUUUUAUUUUUGUUUUAAAAUUUAUUGUAUCUCAUCAUUAAACUUAAUUUUUCCACACCAAGCAAAUAUCCUUAACAUUUCAUUUUUUUUCCUGCAUUUUAAUGCAUUAGCAGUUAUUAAACCUUCAAAUUUUAACUUCAAAUCCAACACAACGUAAUGGUGAAGAUUACAGACUUGGUAAAAUCAUUUAAAAGCUUGUGUUUGUGUGUGAUCUUUUCCUUUUUCCCUUUGGCCUUCGGAUCUCCUAACAGUGAGAAUCUUAUAGAGUCCGCGGCGAAAGAAACUCCCCUGGAUGCAUCUAAGACGCUGCAUUUCAACUUUAAGCCAAACCUUUCAAGUUAAGCAUCGUGGUAUGCGGUGGUAAUAACAUCCUUGUAAGUACUGUACUUUUAAAAAAGAAACCACGGGAGAGGAUGCCGGGAUUUGAAUUGAUAGGUGGUGGCGUGCCAGGAUUUGCCCAUGCUUUUGGCGCCGUUGAAUUCAAUAUCGUUAUUCUUUUCCCGUUGCCAAAGGUCAGGUUGAUUUCCGAUGAGACGUGCCCGACAGGCCAUAAUCUUGCGAUUGCUGGGUAGAUCCUUUCUGGAUGUUAUUGGGUAAAAUUUGAA
rnacentral:lncRNA from 1 species